rnacentral:rRNA from 1 species
AAACCGGGAGAUAGCUGGUUCUCCCCCGAAAGCUAUUGUAGGUAGCGCCUCGUGAACUCAUCUUCGGGGGUAGAGCACUGUUUCGGCUAGGGGGUCAUCCCGACUUACCAACCCGAUGCAAACUACGAAUACCGAAGAAUGUUAUCACGGGAGACACACGGCGGGUGCUAACGUCCGUCGUGAAGAGGGAAACAACCCAGACCGCCAGCUAAGGUCCCAAAGUCAUGGUUAAGUGGGAAACGAUGUGGGAAGGCACAGACAGCCAGGAUGUUGGCUUAGAAGCAGCCAUCAUUUAAAGAAAGCGUAAUAGCUCACUGGUCGAGUCGGCCUGCGCGGAAGAUGUAACGGGGCUAAACCAUGCACCGAAGCUGCGGCAGCGACACUAUGUGUUGUUGGGUAGGGGAGCGUUCUGUAAGCCUGCGAAGGUGUGCUGUGAGGCAUGCUGGAGGUAUCAGAAGUGCGAAUGCUGACAUAAGUAACGAUAAAGCGGGUGAAAAGCCCGCUCGCCGGAAGACCAAGGGUUCCUGUCCAACGUUAAUCGGGGCAGGGUGAGUCGACCCCUAAGGCGAGGCCGAAAGGCGUAGUCGAUGGGAAACAGGUUAAUAUUCCUGUACUUGGUGUUACUGCGAAGGGGGGACGGAGAAGGCUAUGUUAGCCGGGCGACGGUUGUCCCGGUUUAAGCAUGUAGGCUGAUUGUCCAGGCAAAUCCGGAUAAUCAAGGCUGAGGUGUGAUGACGAGGCACUACGGUGCUGAAGUAACAAAUGCCCUGCUUCCAGGAAAAGCCUCUAAGCAUCAGGUAACAUUAAAUCGUACCCCAAACCGACACAGGUGGUCAGGUAGAGAAUACCAAGGCGCUUGAGAGAACUCGGGUGAAGGAACUAGGCAAAAUGGUGCCGUAACUUCGGGAGAAGGCACGCUGGUGUGUAGGUGAAGUCCCUGCGGAUGGAGCUGAGACCAGUCGAAGAUACCAGCUGGCUGCAACUGUUUAUUAAAAACACAGCACUGUGCAAACACGAAAGUGGACGUAUACGGUGUGACGCCUGCCCGGUGCCGGAAGGUUAAUUGAUGGGGUUAUCCGUAAGGAGAAGCUCUUGAUCGAAGCCCCGGUAAACGGCGGCCGUAACUAUAACGGUCCUAAGGUAGCGAAAUUCCUUGUCGGGUAAGUUCCGACCUGCACGAAUGGCGUAAUGAUGGCCAGGCUGUCUCCACCCGAGACUCAGUGAAAUUGAACUCGCUGUGAAGAUGCAGUGUACCCGCGGCAAGACGGAAAGACCCCGUGAACCUUUACUAUAGCUUGACACUGAACAUUGAGCCUUGAUGUGUAGGAUAGGUGGGAGGCUUUGAAGCGUGGACGCCAGUCUGCGUGGAGCCAACCUUGAAAUACCACCCUUUAAUGUUUGAUGUUCUAACGUUGGCCCCUGACCGGGGUUGCGGACAGUGUCUGGUGGGUAGUUUGACUGGGGCGGUCUCCUCCCAAAGCGUAACGGAGGAGCACGAAGGUUAGCUAAUCCUGGUCGGACAUCAGGAGGUUAGUGCAAUGGCAUAAGCUAGCUUGACUGCGAGCGUGACGGCGCGAGCAGGUGCGAAAGCAGGUCAUAGUGAUCCGGUGGUUCUGAAUGGAAGGGCCAUCGCUCAACGGAUAAAAGGUACUCCGGGGAUAACAGGCUGAUACCGCCCAAGAGUUCAUAUCGACGGCGGUGUUUGGCACCUCGAUGUCGGCUCAUCACAUCCUGGGGCUGAAGUAGGUCCCAAGGGUAUGGCUGUUCGCCAUUUAAAGUGGUACGCGAGCUGGGUUUAGAACGUCGUGAGACAGUUCGGUCCCUAUCUGCCGUGGGCGCUGGAGAAUUGAGGGGGGCUGCUCCUAGUACGAGAGGACCGGAGUGGACGCAUCACUGGUGUUCGGGUUGUCAUGCCAAUGGCACUGCCCGGUAGCUAAAUGCGGAAGAGAUAAGUGCUGAAAGCAUCUAAGCACGAAACUUGCCCCGAGAUGAGUUCUCCCUGAGACUUUAAGUCUCCUGAAGGAACGUUAAAGACGAUGACGUUGAUAGGCCGGGUGUGUAAGCGCAGCGAUGCGUUGAGCUAACCGGUACUAAUGAACCGUGAGGCUUAACCUUACAACGCCGAAG